UACGUAGGGGGCAAGCGUUAUCCGGAUUUACUGGGUGUAAAGGGAGCGUAGACGGCGCGGCAAGUCUGAAGUGAAAGGCAGGGGCUUAACCCCUGAACUGCUUUGGAAACUGCCAUGCUAGAGUGCUGGAGAGGUAAGUGGAAUUCCUAGUGUAGCGGUGAAAUGCGUAGAUAUCGCGCAGAACUCCGAUUGCGAAGGCAGCAUGCCGGCUCCACACUGACGCUGAGGCACGAAAGCGUGGGUAUCGAACAGG
rnacentral:rRNA from 1 species